rnacentral:rRNA from 1 species
AGAGUUUGAUCCUGGCUCAGGAUGAACGCUGGCGGCGUGCUUAACACAUGCAAGUCGAACGAUGAAACCAGCUUGCUGGUGGAUUAGUGGCGAACGGGUGAGUAACACGUGAGUAACCUGCCCUUGACUCUGGGAUAAGCCUGGGAAACUGGGUCUAAUACCGGAUAUGACUGAUCAUCGCAUGGUGGUUGGUGGAAAGCUUUUGCGGUUUUGGAUGGACUCGCGGCCUAUCAGCUUGUUGGUGGGGUAAUGGCCUACCAAGGCGACGACGGGUAGCCGGCCUGAGAGGGUGACCGGCCACACUGGGACUGAGACACGGCCCAGACUCCUACGGGAGGCAGCAGUGGGGAAUAUUGCACAAUGGGCGAAAGCCUGAUGCAGCGACGCCGCGUGAGGGAUGACGGCCUUCGGGUUGUAAACCUCUUUCAGUAGGGAAGAAGCCGCAAGGUGACGGUACCUGCAGAAGAAGCGCCGGCUAACUACGUG